rnacentral:tRNA from 1 species
GCCCAGGUCGCCUAAUCUGGUAGGGCGCCAGCCUGGAGAGCUGGUUCCCGUAAGGGAGUGUGGGUUCGAGUCCCACCCCGGGCG